GCAAAAGUUCCAGGACCCACUCUCUCCUGGACUGACUUGGGUCAUGUUCUCUCCCUGAACCAAUCACUGUGACUUGGAAAAAGUGAAAAUGUGUUCUGAUUGAUGAGGGCUAGUUCACCUGCCCAGCCCUGGAGCCAACUCGAGUCCUCGGACCAAGCAGAAGGGCAGAUGAAGGUGCUUUCCACAAUACAACUCACUUCUCUCCUGGAAGCCCUGCCAAUGUUCUCACUCCUCUCUCUGCACACACACCCCAACUGGCCCACACUGCACAGGGGGAGACUGUUGUCCCCAUGGCUCCUCUCACUGCUCCCUGUCACAAACCAAAGUGGCCAGAGUGUUCAAGCUGAGGAAGCUGCAGCAGGAAGAGCAGUGGAGUCAACCAAAGUCCUGAGUUCUAGCCCCUCCUCUGUCACCAACCAGCCAUGAGACCUUUGGCAAGUCAGCCAUGUCUCACUUCUCAGUCUCCCCAUCUGGUCAAAAGUAAAAACAAAAGCAGAAUCAUG